AAGCGUGCGCAGGCGGUUAUAUAAGACAGAUGUGAAAUCCCCGGGCUCAACCUGGGAACUGCAUUUGUGACUGUAUAGCUGGAGUGCGGCAGAGGGGGGAUGGAAUUCCGCGUGUAGCAGUGAAAUGCGUAGAUAUGCGGAGGAACACCGAUGGCGAAGGCAAUCCCCUGGGCCUGCACUGACGCUCAUGCACGAAAGCGUGGGGAGCAAACAGGAUUAGAUACCCCUGU
rnacentral:rRNA from 1 species